rnacentral:rRNA from 1 species
AGACGGGGGGUGCUAGCGUUGUUCGGAAUUACUGGGCGUAAAGGGCGCGUAGGCGGCUCUGCGAGUCGGGCGUGAAAUCCCGGGGCUCAACCCCGGAACGGCGCUCGAUACUGCGGGGCUGGAGACCGGAAGAGGAGGGUGGAAUUCCCAGUGUAGGGGUGAAAUUCGUAGAUAUUGGGAGGAACACCGGUGGCGAAAGCGGCUCUCUGGUCCGGUUCUGACGCUGAGGCGCGAAAGCGUGGGGAGCAAACAGGAUUAGAAACCCCAGUAGUCC